rnacentral:snoRNA from 1 species
UGCACACUCCGUUAUAAGAGCUCCGAGUGUUUACUUCGUUCGAUUGAGCUGAAAGGAGUUGUGCCAGAGCAUUUGAAUGGUUGGGUGUCCAGAUAACUUUCCAUAGUUAAAUUUGGCCAAUAAUCAUUUGGACAGCA